GACGAACGCUGGCGGCGUGCUUAACACAUGCAAGUCGAACGGAAAGGCCCUGCUUUUGUGGGGUUCUCGAGUGGCGAACGGGUGAGUAACACGUGAGUAACCUGCCCUUGACUUUGGGAUAACUUCAGGAAACUGGGGCUAAUACCGGAUAGGAGCUCCUGCUGCAUGGUGGGGGUUGGAAAGUUUCGGCGGUUGGGGAUGGACUCGCGGCUUAUCAGCUUGUUGGUGGGGUAGUGGCUUACCAAGGCUUUGACGGGUAGCCGGCCUGAGAGGGUGACCGGCCACAUUGGGACUGAGAUACGGCGCAGACUCCUACGGGAGGCAGCAGUGGGGAAUAUUGCACAAUGGGCGGAAGCCUGAUGCAGCAACGCCGCGUGCGGGAUGACGGCCUUCGGGUUGUAAACCGCUUUCGCCUGUGACGAAGCGUGAGUGACGGUACUGGGUAAAGAAGCACCGGCUAACUACGUG
rnacentral:rRNA from 1 species